AGAGUUUGAUCCUGGCUCAGGAUGAACGCUGGCGGCGUGCUUAACACAUGCAAGUCGAACGAACCUUCGGGUUAGUGGCGGACGGGUGAGUAACGCGUGAGAAUCUGCCCUCAGGAGGGGGAUAACGGUUGGAAACGACCGCUAAUACCCCAUAUGCCGCGAGGUGAAAUGAAUUUCGCCUGAGGAUGAGUUCGCGUCUGAUUAGUUAGUUGGUGGGGUAAAGGCCUACCAAGACAUCGAUCAGUAGCUGGUCUGAGAGGAUGAUCAGCCACACUGGGACUGAGACACGGCCCAGACUCCUACGGGAGGCAGCAGUGGGGAAUUUUCCGCAAUGGGCGAAAGCCUGACGGAGCAACGCCGCGUGAGGGAUGAAGGCCUCUGGGCUGUAAACCUCUUUUAUCAAGGAAGAAGAUCUGACGGUACUUGAUGAAUAAGCCACGGCUAAUUCCGUGCCAGCAGCCGCGGUAAUACGGGAGUGGCAAGCGUUAUCCGGAAUUAUUGGGCGUAAAGCGUCCGCAGGCGGUCUGUCAAGUCUGCUGUUAAAGCGUGGAGCUUAACUCCAUUUCGGCAGUGGAAACUGACAGACUAGAGUGUGGUAGGGGCAGAGGGAAUUCCCGGUGUAGCGGUGAAAUGCGUAGAUAUCGGGAAGAACACCAGUGGCGAAGGCGCUCUGCUGGGCCAUAACUGACGCUCAUGGACGAAAGCCAGGGGAGCGAAAGGGAUUAGAUACCCCUGUAGUCCUGGCCGUAAACGAUGAACACUAGGUGUCGGGGGAAUCGACCCCCUCGGUGUCGUAGCCAACGCGUUAAGUGUUCCGCCUGGGGAGUACGCACGCAAGUGUGAAACUCAAAGGAAUUGACGGGGGCCCGCACAAGCGGUGGAGUAUGUGGUUUAAUUCGAUGCAACGCGAAGAACCUUACCAGGGUUUGACAUCCUGCGAAUCUCUUGGAAACGAGAGAGUGCCUUCGGGAACGCAGUGACAGGUGGUGCAUGGCUGUCGUCAGCUCGUGUCGUGAGAUGUUGGGUUAAGUCCCGCAACGAGCGCAACCCACGUCGUUAGUUGCCAGCAUUUAGUUGGGCACUCUAGCGAGACCGCCGGUGAUAAACCGGAGGAAGGUGUGGAUGACGUCAAGUCAUCAUGCCCCUUACAUCCUGGGCUACACACGUACUACAAUGCUACGGACAAAGGGCAGCAAACUCGCGAGAGCUAGCAAAUCCCAUAAACCGUGGCUCAGUUCAGAUCGUAGGCUGCAACUCGCCUACGUGAAGGAGGAAUCGCUAGUAAUCGCAGGUCAGCAUACUGCGGUGAAUACGUUCCCGGGCCUUGUACACACCGCCCGUCACACCAUGGAAGUUGGCCACGCCCGAAGCCGUUACUCCAACCCUUGUGGAGGAGGACGUCGAAGGUGGGGCUGAUGACUGGGGUGAAGUCGUAACAAGGUAACC
rnacentral:rRNA from 1 species